rnacentral:rRNA from 2 species
GACACGACUCUCGGCAACGGAUAUCUCGGCUCUCGCAUCGAUGAAAAACGUAGCGAAAUGCGAUACCUGGUGUGAAUUGCAAAAUCCCGCGAACCAUCGAGUCUUUGAACGCAAGUUGCGCCCGAGGCCACCCGGUCGAGGGCACGCCUGCCUGGGCGUCACGC